CAGUCGAACGAACUCUGGUAUUGAUUGGUGCUUGCAUCAUGAUUUACAUUUGAGUGAGUGGCGAACUGGUGAGUAACACGUGGGAAACCUGCCCAGAAGCGGGGGAUAACACCUGGAAACAGAUGCUAAUACCGCAUAACAACUUGGACCGCAUGGUCCGAGUUUGAAAGAUGGCUUCGGCUAUCACUUUUGGAUGGUCCCGCGGCGUAUUAGCUAGAUGGUGGGGUAACGGCUCACCAUGGCAAUGAUACGUAGCCGACCUGAGAGGGUAAUCGGCCACAUUGGGACUGAGACACGGCCCAAACUCCUACGGGAGGCAGCAGUAGGGAAUCUUCCACAAUGGACGAAAGUCUGAUGGAGCAACGCCGCGUGAGUGAAGAAGGGUUUCGGCUCGUAAAACUCUGUUGUUAAAGAAGAACAUAUCUGAGAGUAACUGUUCAGGUAUUGACGGUAUUUAACCAGAAAGCCACGGCUAACUACGUGCCAGCAGCCGCGGUAAUACGUAGGUGGCAAGCGUUGUCCGGAUUUAUUGGGCGUAAAGCGAGCGCAGGCGGUUUUUUAAGUCUGAUGUGAAAGCCUUCGGCUCAACCGAAGAAGUGCAUCGGAAACUGGGAAACUUGAGUGCAGAAGAGGACAGUGGAACUCCAUGUGUAGCGGUGAAAUGCGUAGAUAUAUGGAAGAACACCAGUGGCGAAGGCGGCUGUCUGGUCUGUAACUGACGCUGAGGCUCGAAAGUAUGGGUAGCAAACAGGAUUAGAUACCCUGGUAGUCCAUACCGUAAACGAUGAAUGCUAAGUGUUGGAGGGUUUCCGCCCUUCAGUGCUGCAGCUAACGCAUUAAGCAUUCCGCCUGGGGAGUACGGCCGCAAGGCUGAAACUCAAAGGAAUUGACGGGGGCCCGCACAAGCGGUGGAGCAUGUGGUUUAAUUCGAAGCUACGCGAAGAACCUUACCAGGUCUUGACAUACUAUGCAAAUCUAAGAGAUUAGACGUUCCCUUCGGGGACAUGGAUACAGGUGGUGCAUGGUUGUCGUCAGCUCGUGUCGUGAGAUGUUGGGUUAAGUCCCGCAACGAGCGCAACCCUUAUUAUCAGUUGCCAGCAUUAAGUUGGGCACUCUGGUGAGACUGCCGGUGACAAACCGGAGGAAGGUGGGGAUGACGUCAAAUCAUCAUGCCCCUUAUGACCUGGGCUACACACGUGCUACAAUGGAUGGUACAACGAGUUGCGAACUCGCGAGAGUAAGCUAAUCUCUUAAAGCCAUUCUCAGUUCGGAUUGUAGGCUGCAACUCGCCUACAUGAAGUCGGAAUCGCUAGUAAUCGCGGAUCAGCAUGCCGCGGUGAAUACGUUCCCGGGCCUUGUACACACCGCCCGUCACACCAUGAGAGUU
rnacentral:rRNA from 2 species